AAGCAGGGCCUGGUCAAGUAGGGGAUGGAUAGAGAUCAAGAGAACAACCAUCCUUAAUGGCCUGACCAUACAUACAUCAUUGGUGGUGGUGACCUUGGAGAAACAAUUUAUUUGGUCAGGUGAGCGUGGCAACUAGAAUGUAGAGGACUAAUUGGUAGCUGUGUUGAAGAAGUGGGGCCAGCAAGCACACUCCACUCUUUUCAAACAUUUGACAGUAAAGGAAAUGAUUGACAGAACAGUGGCUUGAGGAGAAAACAAAGAAAAAGAAGGCUUGGUGAAGCUGGAACUUGAGCAUGGUUGUAGGCUGAACCUACAGAGAUAAAAAAGCUAAAAGACAAAAAGGAGUGCAAUAAGACACAAUGCAGAGAAAAAACUUUUAAGCACAAAAAUUUAAAAAGCACACACAUAUAAUGGGCUUUGGAGCAGAUUGUUCUGGGUUCAAAUUCUGACUCUGCUGCUGACCAAUUAACAGUCUGAGUCUCGGCUUCCAAAUCUAUGAGACAGUGUGCUGACGACUCCUUGCAUCAAGUGUACACAAAAUGUUCUGUCCUCACUGGCAUGUAAGAGGCAGUCCUUCCUCGUCCCCCUCAUCCAUAAUCUCCUCUGAUCCACCCCAAAUUAGGGUUGUCAGAAAAAGAAAAAUACCUGCAUUAUUUGGGAUGUACUUUUACUAAACAAUGAUUCUUUGUUUACCAGAAGUUUAAGGUUAAUUGGACAUGGUAUUUUUGUUUUUCUUAAAUCUGCAACCCUACCCAAAAUAAAAUACCUUGUAUACAACUUACUAUAAUAAAAAUUGGAGGCCAGAGUGAAGAGGUAAAUGGUGGGUGGAUGAUGCUGCCUCUUACUGGUAGAAUGUGGCAACACCAACCAUCCUAUCAAAGACGUACAGCCUGUAGGCGGUUUUCUUAAGAAUGGCAAGCCACUAGACCCGCUGCAGAAGAGAGAUGGAGUCUAUUCUCCUGCUAAUAUUUUAGUCUAAAUUUACUACUAUGGUAAUGCUGCUAUCUUUUCAUUUUCACUGGUGCCAAUAUAUUUCAUUUUUCUCUAUAUGAUUUGUAUACUUUUUUCUCAGGGUUAGAGUAUUACUGUACAUUUGGAACUUAUGCUUUCCUAUUGGAUUCCAGUAUGCAUACUGUUUGUAUAUAUUUUAUUUAUUUAUUUGGCCUCACCACACAGCAUGCAGGAUUUAAGUUCCCUGACAAGGGAUUGAACCCAUGCCCCCUGUGGUGGGAGCGUGGACUAUUAACUAUUGCACCAACAGGGAAGUCCUUAUAUGUAUUAUCACUACGGGACCUCAUUAAAGUCACUGUCUGUACAUGCUUAUUCAUUUUGUCUUACAAAAGUAAAGUAUGUUUCACAUGUGGCUUACAUGUUGACACAUGCAGUAGAAGACAAUAAAAUUAUUAAUAAAAUUAAUAUAGUCCAUGGGGUCGCAAAGAGUCAGACACGACUGAGAGACUAACACACACACACACAAAAUUAUAGCUUUUUAUUUUUAUUUAAUCUUUUUAAAUGUUAGUGACAUAGUGCAGCAUUAUUACAGAGGAACUUGGCAAGGGUGUCACAUAUGUCCCUAAAAAAAAAAAGUACCUAAUAACAAAGACAAAUGAGGUUUUCUGAAUAUAUUCUCUGGCAGGAGUUGAGAAAAUACAAAAGCUCUUGUAGGUACUACCGUCUCUGGAUUUGUUAGUUGAAGGGUCUAGGAAAUGAGCAGCAAGUGCUUCACUUGCUCCCUUUGGCCAUCUGAGGCUCAUCGGGGGGACUGCAAUGUUCCCCCUUCCCCGUCUGUCCUGUUAGGAGGCCAGCAUGUGGGCGCGUCCCCCAGCAGUACGUUCACCAAAGAUGUCUGCGCAUCCUUCCACCACAGCGGUCUUAAAUGCCGUGCUAACAAGUUUACCGCUUCGUCUAGGAACAUGAUUCAGUCUCCAUGCAAGAAGCCCAGGUCAGGCCAUGAAAGAGAAGCCCCUGAGCUCCUCAGGCUCCAUUGUAGGAAAUGGGUCCCUAGAGCAGCCAGUGUUGAGCACCAGCCACAGGGACAGAGGUCAGGUUUUGUCCCCUUCUGAGUUGAAGUUUCACAAAGAACUAGUUCACAGUUGUCUGUCUUCUCAUGUGUCUCAUCUUCAUACUGUCAUGCACAGCAAAUUCUUCUUUAUUCUUAUCAUACAGCCAAGACUCUCACUUCAGAAACAGAACUGGGAUCCAGGAUGGAGGAAAAUGAGUGGUUUCUGCAGAAGCUGGGCAGAAAAGCCAUCAGCAAGUGUCUAGACCUGAACAACUGCAGACAGACAACAGCGGAUGUGAGGGAGACGGGUCUGUAUGGAGUUGACCUUAUCCAGAGGCACAAGGGCACAGAGGGCUGAGAUGAGCAGGCAAAGCGCUCCAUCCUCACUUGACUUGGAAAAACUGGAUAUUUCCUGGAAUGAUGUCACACGUGGAAACCUCCAUGUACUCACCCAGCAAAUGCAUCUUGUCAGCAAGUUAAAAAUCCUGAGGCUGAGUAGUUGCAGACUUACCGCUAAUGAUGUUUGGGCACUGGGUAUGAUGAAUGCUUCCCUUGAGAGAGUGCUUGAGAGAGAGAGUGCUCUCUGCAAUCCAAACCCUCAAGGGCAAAUUACCUGGGUGACCACUCCCCUUGGAUUCCCAUGGAUGAGGAUGAGAGCGCUGUCCGUACAUGAUCAAAUGCUGUGUUGAGCGUUUGCACUUUCUAGAGAACUGUGUAACCUGCACCCAUAAUUGCGCUAAGCCCUGGGAUAAAGAGGGGAACAGGCUGACCAAGCCUCUGGUCUCAGGGAGUUUAAAUGGUAAUAAUAAUUGCAAAAUUUGCUCUCUCUGGAUCUGUUACCUCAUCUGUAACACAGAGAAGUUGGGAUAGAUAAAUUAAGAUCCUUUCCAAUCUCAAAAUGCUUUUCUCUUUUCCCAUUCCUAUUUUUAAAAAAUUGAUCAAAACAAGAUUUUUCAAAUAAAAGCAAUGGUUUAAGUAGAACCAGAACCUCAAUUAAGUUAGUUUUGUAUGUUGAACACCGAAUAACCUAAAAUGUAGGCUAAAAUUUGUCAUGCUGUUAACCCAGCUGCUUUACUGGAAUGCUUGCUAAUUUUAGAUGCCAGACAUACUUUUUUAGUCUUCUUUUCAUCUCGUCUUUAUUUCAAUUAUGUAUUUUGAUCAUUUACAUCUCGGCAAAGAUUUCUGUAAAAGCAACAAAAUUUAUGCCAAUGUCUUUUCUCUAAACUGGAGGAGGAAAUGGCAAUCCACCCCAGUAUUGUCAGAAAUAUCCCAUGGACAGAGGAGCUUGGUGGGCUACAAUCCAUGGGGGUCACAGAGUCAGACAUGACUGAGCAUGCACAGAUGCACUUCUCUCUAAUAAUUCCCUAGAAAAUGGCCAGAUCCUAGUUUAAAUCCUGGUCCCACUUAUAACUAUUUUUGUGACCAUGGACAAAACAACCUUUUUGAGCCUUGGUUUUAUUAUCUCUGAAAUGAGGAUGAUAUCCACCUCAAAAAAUUGUGAGGAUUAAAUAAUUUUAUAAAGUACCUACUACAUGCUUGACACAUAGUAGGCACUCAAUAAUCGAUAAUUCCUUCUUUCCCUACUUCCCCAUCCAAAAUUACCUUUCUGUGGUUUUCUAUGAUCAAUUUAGCCUCACAGGUUCAGCUCAGUUCAGUCGCUCAGUCGUGUCCGACUCUUUGCGACCCCAUGAAUCACAACACGCCAGGCCUCCCUGUCCAUCACCAACUCCCGGAGUUCACCCAGAC